rnacentral:rRNA from 1 species
GACGUAGGGGGCGAGCGUUGUCCGGAUUUAUUGGGCGUAAAGCGCGCGUAGGCGGUUCGUUAAGUCGGGUGUGAAAACCCGGGGCUCAACCCCGGGCUUGCAUCCGAUACUGGCGGACUCGAGGCAGACAGGGGAGAGUGGAAUUCCCGGUGUAGCGGUGAAAUGCGCAGAUAUCGGGAGGAACACCGGUGGCGAAGGCGGCUCUCUGGGUCUGUCCUGACGCUCAGGCGCGAAAGCUAGGGGAGCAAACAGG